GGAGUUUGGACCGUGUCUCAGUUCCAAUGUGGGGGACCUUCCUCUCAGAACCCCCUACUGAUCGUUGGCCAGGUGGGCCGUUACCCCGCCUGCUGCCUAAUCAGACGCAUCCCCAUCCCUUAGCGAUGAAUCUUUGCUUCACGUUAGAUGCCCGCUGUGAAGAACAUAGGGUAUUAAUCCGACUUUCGCCGGGCUAUGCCCUACUAAGGGGAAGGUUGGAUACGCGUUACUCACCCGUGCGCCGGUCGCCAUCUGGUAUAGCAAGCUAUACCAAUGCUGCCCCUCGACUUGCAUGUGUUAAGCCUGUAGCUAGCGUUCAUC
rnacentral:rRNA from 1 species